GUGCGGGAGCGCGGGCGUGCGCGACGGCAGCGCGCGUGCGCCUUGCGCCCGCCGCCGGGUAACGGUGGCGGGUCGGUGCGGGUGGUUUGUAUGAGGCUCUCGGUAACGGCUGCCGGGGGCAUCGGUGCCUCCGCGUGUGCCUGCAGACGGGGGGGCGUAUCUCUCAGAACGGCAGGCUGGCCGGGCGCGGGGUCGCCGCCUGCCGCCGCUGCCUGUAAAGUGUCGGAGUAACUGCGGUGGGAGGAUCGGCAUGAGGCACGGCCUGGUUGGGAGACGCCCCAAGCCAGGAGGCUUCGGCCUGUGGCUGUGAGGACGUCGGCGCUUGUCGAUGCGUAUCUAACAGCAUGGAAACGUAGGUUUGAAUCCACUUCUGUGGCAGUGUUCUGAAGAGACCUGAAGAUCACCUUACGCCUCAGCUUACCACAAACUGCAAA